AAAAGAAAGAAAACCAAUGUCCUAAAUAAGUUCUUAUGUUUCUUUUUUCUUCUGAGGUCAAGUUCAUUAUUGUAACUUUGUGAGUGUUUUUCAUAGUGCCAUUGCCAAAUGACAUUAAAAUUACUAAUACAGAAGUAGAUUAAGAGAACAUGAUUAAGAUUGCAAAGUCAGGAAAAAUCAUAAUUAAGGUUGCCUGUGCAAUUUUAACUCAGUUCCUGUGUGGAUAUCCAUCCUGAUAAGAGGGUUUAAUUACGUAGCCAUGGUCUUUUUCUUUUCUUUUUUUCCUCAGGACACUUCCCAAUCACUGAGCACCAUUUUACUGACUCUUCUCAAAGUGGUUAUAUUUUCAUGGGUAUUUAUUUUUUUAUUAUUAUUUUUUAUUUUUAUUUUUUUAUUCAGAGGGCAGAGGAGAAAUAAUAAGAUUCUUACACUUAAGAAUCGGGAUGUUAAAGUGCUGACAUUACGAUUUCACCAUAUUGUAACUUCUGUAGAACAUAAGUUUCUUAACUGUAACAAAAUGCCCAACUAGUGCUUUUGGGAGGGAGCCAACACUGUUCCCUGUCUUCCUCAGUCCCACAGAAAUCAAAUUCAAGUCCCACUAUCUGUGUGUGUGUGUAUAUAUAAUUUAUAUGUAUAAAUAAAAGCAUCGUGAAGCAGAAGUGUGAAUGAAACUGUAAAUAUGACUUUAUGGUGGAAACUUUGGGCAGUGGUUUCAUUGUUUCUCAUUUCAACCUUUUUGAAAAUGCUGCAAAGGAAUCGAGAAGUAAAUGGAAAGUUUCUGAAUUUAUUUUCCUUACUGGAACUCCUUAGAUUAUGUCAUUUUAAAAACUGUGACACCGAGCUACAAACGUGGUGAACGGUCUGGAGGGAAAAACAUAUGAGGAGUAGCUGAGGUCCACUGGUCAGUUUGUUCAGCUAAGAGGAGGCUGAGGGAAGGCCUCAUUGUGGCUUACAGUUGGACUCAGUGAUCCUUAUGGGUCCCUUCCAAUUCAGGAUGUUCCAAUUCAGAUGACUCUGUGAUUCUGUUAUUUUUAGUGUUGCUUUUCUUUGUGUACUGUGGGUUGGACCCCAUUCAUUUUUUUUUUCCUCAUUAUACAAGAACUCCAGCAUAAUUCUAAAAAGGCUGGUAAGAAGUUCACAAAUAAGGAAUUGAUUUUAAAUACAAUUUUUUUAAAACAUCUGCUUGAUUCUCAGUGUAGUUUUGUAUUUUGCAAAAUUAAGAUAUUAUCACUUAAGUUGAUUAUGAAAACUCUAAAAGCAGAUAAAAUUAGGAAGAACUUAACCAGAAAGAAUGGAAAUCUACCCUACUGGUACCAGUUUGGCAUUCACAAGUUGAUUUUUAUAAAUCUUCAGUUGACCUUUUUGACAGGAGCCUUUUGAAGUUCAGUGACAAUGAAUAUGAAGCUCUGUACCUGGAACUGAGGAACUGCUGUUAAAGCAUGGGCUGUGGCUUGCCAGGCUGGGGAGCAGCUCUGAUCAAAGCAGCCUAGUGGUCUUGCUGGACCAGUGUGUCUGAUCAUGUUUCUUCUUGUACCACAUCUGCCUUUUGAAGAAGGGAGGGGGGGAAGCCACAUGUUUUCAGGCUGUGGAACUACUAAAGUGUCUGAAUAAAGGAAUUAUUGGUAAAAAAUCUUUCAGAAAUAAUAUUGUGGAAGAAACUACUACUGAAAAACAAUGAGGUUUCUGCUCAAGGUUUUCUAGUCCUGACAUAACAUGGUACUGUUCAUUAGCCUGACGGUUUCUGUAUCAUGCUGGUUUGUGUCUGGCCAAGAAGGUGCAUGUAUAAAGAUUGCUUCUACAAGUCUGUAUCUGUCUGCAGAGCUGAACCUCAAUUAUCAUAUCUGACAAAGAAUAAGCUGUUAUUAUAGUAAAAAUUACAUGGGAGGUCUUUAAAAUAAGCCUUCUCCUUGCUGACUGACAGGAGAGGCUGAGUGGCUUUAACAUAGUGCACCAAAGUGUAUUCCUGAAUUGGUUUCACCUUUAUUUCAGAGACACGAAAAGGAUGAUCAUUUAAUAAUUUCAUAUAAGCGUUGUCACGAUCAAGGGAAGAAUGCGAUUCAUUUAAAUUUGGAAGAGAAUCUGAGUGACUGCUUUGCAUCAGUAAACUUCAGAGUGCUCUGUAAUUCAUCGUGCUCAACAGGAAGAAAAACAAGUUGAAGAAAGUGAAUAUAUAAUGCUGUUAGAACAGUUUUGAAUUUAGCUGAACUUUACUCUUCAGUUCACUGACUGGUGUGACAUUAAGAACACAAGAAAGCAGCACCCAGAGUGCUAGCCUUCAACAAUGGUUACUGUAGUCCUCAGAGGAAAGGAUUUGAGUGCUUACUGGGAGGACCAGCACAGCUUCUUCCCAGGAGGUAUGUCACAGUCUGUGGUUGUGGGAACCCCUGGCUAUGUGUCUGUUAGAAAAAGGAACGUGCCUGAGACUGUACUUCAGUGAUGAGAGUAUUAGAUGUAUAUGUCCAAUGUCUGUGUCCAUGUUCUGAAACAGAGGCUGCUUCAAAAAUAUCUUUGGAAAGUGUCUUAGCUGAUGUUAAGUCUUGAGUCAUGCCUGUGCCCAAUCUAGCAAUUUAGAUCAAUCUAGCAGUUUAGCAAUUGGCUUCUAGUACAACUUUACUUUUAGAGAUCCCAUGGAAUUAUAUUACAAAAGGUGGUCCUCACCUAACUUAUGGAAAUAAUAAACUAAAUCCUUGGAUCAUUCACACUUAUCAAAUAUUCGAAGUGUAAAAGCCAUAUGGAAGCAAGGCUUUUUUCAUGCCUCUAAAAUUUCUUGGAAUUGUUUCUUGGUAUGGAGAAUAUCUUUCAGGAAACAUGCUUAGAAUAGUCACAAAAGCAAUGAAUAGCCCUGAAAAUAGUGGCCAUCUUCCUGAUAAUAGUUCAGCACUCUCCCUUUUCAUGUAAUGCAUGCUUAACAUAUCAUAAGCGUGUUUUAAACAGUAUGAGAGUGUCCCAUAUUUGUUGUAAUGGCCCCUGAUGUCAUCCCAAAUUUUACUUUUAUUGUCUAACAAAAUUAAAAAAAAAAAAUUAUUGGAAAUAAUUGCAUGCUUUUCUUUUUCAGUUAUACUCAGUGCUCUCAGUCAGGCCCUCACACAGCCUGUGUUUGGCUGAAUUCUCCUUGGAGAGCUUAAGAGACUUCAGAGGCAUUUCUGAAAGCAUUUGGAUUAAAUACAGAGUACAGAAAAGAGAAAGGUGGUUGUUAGCAUUUGAUUUUGAUUCUUUUUUUGUUCUGUACUGUAACAUCGAUAGCUUGGGAACUGGCUUAAACAGUUCAUGGUAAAUGCUCUGCUGGGCGUACUAUUACAGUUAAAAUUUAAUAUUUAAAAUUUAAUAAUUUUAAUAUCCUAUAGGGAAUCAUCUGUGUUGUUAUACAUAAAUGAGGAUGACAAAACACUUUUUCAGGUGGAGUAAAUAACUUCGAUAUAUGCAUAUUUAUCCCAUUUAUUCCUCACAUUUUCUGCUGUCUAUUUUAUCAUAAAUACAGAAACUAGCUUCAAUCCCUAAAGUAAGAAAUCGAAUGUAAGAAUGCAGACCACACUCACAGAUUUCUGAAAUUCUAGGGAAAACUGUAAUUUAGAUUUUCUAAGUGGAAUCACAGUUCUUAUAUUCAAGACAUGACUUUUAUUUAUUUUUCAGCAGGUAACUAGGAGAGGUGAGCUAAAGUUUCAUAUAGUUUAUGAAAACAAUAUUUUAUCAUUUUGAUAUUUGUCUUCUCUCAACCGCAGUUUCUAUUAGUGUCGUGUACAAUUAGGUCUGAUUAUUAAUGGUUUCAUAAGAACAUUUUUCCUCUCUUCUGUUUUAUUGUUCAUUCUGUCUGGAAAGGAGAAUUCUUGUGAAAAAGAAAGGAAGCCCAGUUGCCUGAAUAUAAUUAUAUUGUAAUCUUAUCAUAAGCAGAGAUUUUAGAUUUUAGUUGAUUUAAAGUAUUUUUCUUCAGUAAUCUAAGUGAAAAGAAUCUAUGCCAUUUUUUCAUGUCUUUACCUAAUUGUUACUUCCUCUUACAAGUUGUCAUUCAUGAGUCGGUAUUGGGAUCUGUCCGGUUUAGUAUCUUUAUUGAUGACCUGGACCUGGAUGAGGGGAUUGAGUGCAGGUGUAAGUUUGUACCUCAGUAAGUUUGCAGGUGACACCAAGAUGGGAGCAAAUCUCGGUCUGCCUGGGGGUAGGAGGGCCCUACAGAGUGGUCUGGACAGGCUGGAUUGUUGGGCUGAGGCCAGUGCUAUGAAAUUCAACAAGCCCAAGUGCUGAGUUGUGCACUUUGAUCAGAACAAUCCCAGGCAGUGCUACAGGCUUGGGGCAGAGUGGCUGGAAGAUUGUGAGGAAGAAAUGGACCUGGGGAUGUUGGUGGAUGCUCAGUUAAACAUGAGCCAGCAGUGUGCCCAGGUGGUCAAGAAGGCCAAUGGUGUCCUGGCUUGUACCAUUGCCAGCAGGAGCAUGGAAGUGAUCAUCCCACUGUACUCAACACUGGUGAGGCUGUACUUCAAGUACUGUGUUCUGUUUUGGGCCCCUCACUAGAAGAAAGACAUUGAGGCCCUGGAGCAUGUCCAGAGAAGGGUAAUGAAGCAGUGAGGGGUCUGGAGCACAAGUCUUGUGGGGAGUGGCUGGAACUGGGAUUGUUUAGUCUAGAGAAGAGAAGGCUCGGGGGACACCUUAUUGCCCUUUAUAACCACCUGAAUGGAGGUUGUGGUGAGGUGGGGGUUAGCCUGUUCUCCCAUGUAACUAGCAAUAGGAUGAGAGGGAAUGGUCUGAAGUUGUACCAGGGGAGGUUCAGGUUGGAUAGCAGGAAAAAAUUCUUCUCUGAAAGAGUGGUCAGGCUGCCUGGGGAGGUGGUGGAGUCACUAUCCCUGGAGGCAUUUAAGGAACAUGUAGGUAUGGUACUAAGGGGCACUUUAUUGGGAAAUAUUGGUGGUGGGUGGUCAGUUGGACUAGAUGAUCUUUGUGUCCUUUUCCAAGCAUAAUGUUUCUAUUAUUCUAUUAUCAUCAUCAUCAUUGUUUAUCUAUUUAUUUAUCAAUUUAUUUAUUCAGUAGGUUAGCUUUCUCUUACCCUUGUUGGUAGUAAAACCCUUAAUGCCACAGUGACCAAUAGAAGAUCAUUGCAUCUAGCACCAGGAGACAAAGAAGCAAGGAGGGAUCUGUGAAAAAUGCCUGCAAGAAGCAAAGCACAGUGUAGAUGGAGAUGAUUCAUGUCUCUGCACUGAUUCUUCAGUAAAAGGUAGCAGAGCAGAACCAGAGACCAUUGUCACUCAUCUUGAAUUCAUUUUUACCUGAUGUCUAAAGUAUUUCCCUGCUUCCCACUGGAGCUUUGAAAUGGGCUACAUGUUUGAGUACUCCUUUUUUUUUUUUUCUUUUUUUUUCUUUUUUUUUUUUUAAUUCCAGCCAAAAAAAGUGAGAGUAAAAAAGGCAGCUAGCAGAGGGAGAAGCUGCAGGCAAGUAAUGCAGAAAAAAAAACCAUUUGCCCAUAUGUUUGUCCAUCCAUUUAAACUUUCACAGAUUUUUGUGCAAACUGAUUUAGGAUAAAGGUUUGUCAAAAGUAUGUAAUGAUCUGAAGUUCCUGGAUCACUUAAAUUGUUUAGAAAAUGUUGCUAGACAUCGAAGCGUCCAUAUUUGAACAGAGAAACAGGUUGCAUUUAACAUAGCUGCUGACAAUUUUUUUUUUUUUUUUUGCUUUUUUCUAUGAUUAUUUUAGUCUCUUUCUUGAAAAAAUAUAUAUUUUCUUCUGCAAGUCUCCCACUGAUUGUUUGAUUUAGUAACUUAGGUCUAUCUGACUCCCAUUCAAGUGUGAAUUCACGUCAUUAAAAUCUGCUGAUGAUUUUCGGUGGAGAAGAAUCAAACCUAUUGGCCUUCAUCUUACAGUGCUCGUGAAGUUUGCUCAGAGACUCAAAGUAAGCAAAUUUAAGCUUGAACAGAUAAAAAUGUGAUUGGGCUGAGAGUGUGUUCCUGGAUUUCAGUGUUCUCUUCCAGCACAAACAACCACAACCUUCUUACAAGCUGAUUUUUCUUGGUUUUAAACCAGUGCUAUGGCUAUCGCUGUUACUAUUACCAGAAAAAUGCUCUGAAUUUUCUUGCCCUUCUGAUUGAAACCUUUACCACCAUUCUAGCUCAUGCCUGCGGGAAAAGAGACUUGGGAUCUGCAUCUGUUUUUUUUCUGAUAGUUAAUUUCUUUUCAGCUUCACCUGAAGUCUAGGGUUUAACACUGUUGAGGUAUUGACCCAGGAUCUCUCUCACAACUUAAGUUUAAAUUUCAUUUCACUGGGGAGUGGAUUACCUUGUUAAAUUUUCUGGGAAAAGCACAUGUAUUUUUAUAGCUGCUGAAGCUCCAUACAUGUUACUAAGAGUAGAACAGCUGAGACUUCCAAGUGUUCAGCCAGGCUUCCUUUCUUGUUUAUGGUAGCUGCCUGUUGCUGCCAACUUCAAUAACUGAAUCCUUCUAGAAAAUGACUUCUUAUAAAACUUCUGGCCAUGUAGAAUAAUGUCAUUGUUACUUUGCACUACCACACUGCAUAAGUUUUAUUAUAUGAUUUAGGCUAAGUAUGCUGUUGACAGCUUAAAAGGGAGCUGCUAAAGCCAGUGGAUCUAAUGCUGUAGAAGCAUUGAUUUCCUACCCAAAAAGUGACAGACAAUGAGGGCUGGUAAUUGUAAUGCCAUAGGAAAGUAAAGAAUGGCCCGUUUCUUGUUGUACAAGUAGGAUGCAAUCUUUUUAUGCUAAGUUCUCAGCUUGACACAUACAGGAGCCUCUAUGCUUUGCAUGUUAGAAGAAUAAGCUUGCCAGUCAUGGAAUGGCUUAGGUUGAAGGGGACCUUAAAAAUCAUCUAGUUCCAAUUUCCCUCCAUAGGCAAGGCUGCCAACUACUAGAUCAGGUUGCCCAGGAUCCUGUCCAGCUUUACCUUGAAUGCCUGCAGGGAUAGGGCAUCCACAGCCUUUCUGGACAGCCUGUUCCAAUACCUCACCACCAUCUGAGUAAAAAAUUUCUUCCUAAUAUCUAACCUAAAUCUCCCCUCUUUUAGUUUGAAGCCAUUCCCUCUUGUCCUAUUGCUAUCAGACCGUGUAAAAUGUUUGUUCUCCUCCUACUUAUAAGCAGUCAAAUACCUUCAAGUACUCAAAUUCAAGGCCACAGUGAGGUCUCCAUGGGGUUCUCCAAUCUAAAAAAAUCCCAACUCCUUCAACCUUUCCUCAUAGGAGAGGCACUCCAGCCUUUUCAUCAUCUUUGUGGCCCUCCUCUGGACUCACUCCAACAGCUUUACAACUUUCUUGUGCAGAGGGCCUCAGGCUUAGACACAGUACUCCAGAUGAUGCCUUACAGGGGCAGAGCAGAGAUGGGCAGUCCCUUCCCACUCUCUGCUGGCCACUCCUCUGUUGAUGCAGCCCAGGAUACCAUUGGCCUUCUGGGCUACAAGAGCACGCUGCUGGCUCAUGUUCAGCUUUUUGUCCAUCAGGACCUCCAAUUCCUCCUCCACAGGUCUGCUCUCUAUGAGUUCUUCCAGUCUAUACUUGUAUCUGGGAUUUCCUUGACUCAAGUGCAAAACAUUGCACUUGGCCUUGUUAAAAUAAUGUAAACAUAACAUAAUCAUGACAAACAUUAUGCUUCUUGAUUCUAUGUGUUGUAAGGUCCUUACUGCUGCAGAGGGGAACUGGGAUCAGAACUACACAUCCAGCACAGUGCCCUCUGGAACGGGAUCAGCAAAUAGGGACUGAGAUCCCGUAGGCCACAUGGGGACCAUAAGAUAAGGAACACACAAUCACGUAGGAGAAGUCUGAUUUAAGGGACCCCUGUGACUAAACACUGACAGUAUAACACAGGAACUCUAGCAGAUGUGAGACUAAAACUUAACUCUUCGAGUGUUGUCUGUAAAAAAGCAUAAUGCAUGUAGAAGUGUUUUAUUCAAACCAGGCAUCUCGUGCAAGAUUUUAAACCACAGCAAGUGACCAGCAUGCAGAUGGCAGUAACAGACCAUUGCCACGUGACUGGGGCUGGUAAGAGAUGAUAUUCAUUCUUAACAGUGGGCUUCACGGUUAAUUCUUAAUGAUGGGAAAAUGCUUGCAACUCUUCUAUUUGGUUAUUUCAGGCUGCUCAUGCCUUUCCUUUGACACUGUCUCUUGACAUUAAAAUGAAACCCAAGGUGUCAUUGGCUAGCCAUAUCAGCUCUGCCUAAAAUAUCAGAUUUAAGUCUUGAUAUUCAUGAUUUUGUUAUGAAAUACAGUACACUAAAAAAAUCAUAUUGUGGCUGUUGCAAUUAAGUACUCUAAAUAUGGAUUCCUAAAUGAAAAGGUCAGCAAAGAACCCCAAUAUCCUGUAUUUUGCUUUGUUUACUCGUUAUGUAGAUAAUGAACAUGAAUGUUGUUGUUGUAAGAACUCUUCUUCGUAAGUGAGAAGACUGCAUUUUUUCCAUUUAGGCAAAUGUUCAUUCUUGCUGUCCGAAGUGAACUGUACAUAGCUUCAGCCUUUUUGAGGGUGUGAUUUGAAUGCAUGUAAAUUCAUAUUGUAUCUUCUGCUCUAUUACACUAGGAGAAAUGAUAAAAACUGAAAAAUAUGCAGUUAUUAAACCUUUUGGUAGAAUUAAAACAUUUCUGUUAGAAGCACAAAGGAAAGACGUGUUUUUUAUGCCAGUAAAUGUAAUAAGGAUGACUUUUUUCCCUCUUUGAAAUGUCUGUGCCUCUGACAUGCCAUAAGGGAUGAACUGCUGUUUUAACGACCUAGGGGGUUGCUUCUAGAAGUGGUUGCCCUUGGUGAAGAAUAUAUUUGCAAAGGAUCUGAAUGACCUUGUGCUUUUGAGCCAGACGGGUGCUAUUAGUAUGUGAUUUUGCUGAAAAACUCCUGAAGCGGCAGUUGUAUUGUCUGUCACUGCAAAUACAACAGCACUGUAGGAAUAUCGAAAGACGGGCAUUGUAUAAAAAUAGUGCAAGUAGUCCUUGCAAUAUUAUUGCAUCAAAAGUGCAGAGAUUGACACUUUGUUGAUACCAUAACAUUUCAAACGCACAAGCAGGUUUUUUGUGAUCUCUCAUUCAGUGUAGUAGCACAUGCUACACUCAUAACAGGUAUUCCAGAUCUUCUUGAAAACAAAAGGAAGAGAUGUCCUUCCUUUUUCAGCUUGUGGUCCUGUUAAAUCACUGGCCUAUUUGCAAUGGAGAAGUAUGUGGCCAAACUGUGUUUCCAGAUGUGGAACAUCUCUUGAAAUCCUGAAGCUACCAAGGGACAGAGGUCAUUCCUCACCCAGAUAUACUAAUGGUAGAGUCAGUCAUGACUAUUAGAAACAGCAGCAACCUAAAGACUGAACACUUGUAGAAAAGCAAGAAAGAUUGGUAAUGUGUUUCUCAGAGGGAAGUUUUGGGCACAGCAGAGCUAGAACUAGAGUUUUAUUGAUAUUUUCACCAAAAUAAUCAGAAAGACUUGAAUAUGACGGUUGUGGUUUUUGUUAGGGAGCAGGCUGUGAAAAGCAUAAAUGCACAUGAGACUUUAUUCUAUAAAAUAACCAUUUGAAAUUGUCCUUCUUUCUGCAAGACAUCUGAUACUGAUGGGAGCAGAAGGCCUGAGUAGGGGAGACUAUUUUUUGUUCAAUCAGGAAAACUGUGCAAUGCUUUAAGGAGCCAUUGGCAUUAUAAAAUGGUGAGACCAGACACUGGACUGGAUGAUUCCUGUGGGUUCCUUUGACUCAGGCUAUUCUAUAUUCUAGUUUGAGCAUAUCACGUUAGGAAAAAAAAAAAAAAAAAAAAAAAGAAAUCACUAAAAAUCUGUACAUCUAACUUAAAACAAACUAAGAAAACUAUGGGUGUCUGCACGUUACAGCUCUUCUCAGUUCAAUUUCCUGAUAGGUUUGGCAUUCAUUCUGCUUGCUCUCUGGGAUCAACUCUUACAGUGGCUAAAUUCCUGCAUUAGUUAACUCACGUGUGCCUACAUAGAAUCUCUAACCUUGUGCCUAUCUAAACUAUAUUUGAAUGCUUUUCUGAUACUGCAGUAGGAAUCUCUUCUUCUCUUCCUGUUAUCAAAUGCAUGCUGGGCUUUGAUGGUUCCUGAAUUAUCAAAGCCUACAAAACCUGUUCCUACAGAGUGCUGAUACUUUGGCCUUGAUCUACUGAUGCACUUAGGCAUAAUGUUGUGAUCUGUACAUGUACUUAUAUGCCAGUGAACUCGGCUUUCUACGAUAAUGACUUGUAAUUGACCAGGAAACAGAGUAAUCUGAGUGAGCUGUUAAAAUACCAGAACCACCACAGCAGUAGGGAAGAGAAACCUACAAGUUACUUUUUGAAAACAAACUGAGGUUUGUUUUCAAGGUUACACCACAAUACAGUCCAAAGUCUGAAAGGGUGAGGAAUAACACUUCUGAGGGAAAAUAAAUAUUUAAGUGGAAUUUGCCUAUUUUUUUUUUUCUGUGUUAAUGGCUUUCAAUUUUCAGCAUCAAUUGUAGACUGCUUUUCUGAAUUGGAACAAGUCCUUUCUAAAGGAAGGUAUCAUUGUCCUCACUUUACAUUGGCACAGAGAGCUGAGAUGACUCGACCAAUCUCACUUAGCAGAUCAUGUCAUAGCCAAGCUUUCAAUUCUAAAGAAAGGCAGGUGAAUAAUAGUUCUUGUGUGGCAAACAUGCUACAAAAGAAAGGAGUGUUCAGUGAUGCAUUUUAUGGGGGACACAAACUAAUGAGAGUUUGUGAGAUGACAGUGAAGAAGUGUUCUUGAGAAGAGCAUAGGUACCUGGGUAAAUUUAAUGUUUUAGGAGACAUACAUGUUACAAAUAUGUAUACUUGUGUACUGCUAUACAUAGCUUUAUAUAUAACUAUGCAAUAUAUAUAGUAAUACAGACUUUGUAUGAUAACAAAGAAGUUACUAUUUAUACAGAAAUAUAUGUAGUGUUCAGAUUCUGGGGUAAUCCUCAAUUAAACAGCAGUUCACAAGAUAUUUGUGCCUACCUCGAGUUCAAAGCACCUACAUUUUUUUAAGAACUUUAUUUUAGUUAAGUAAGUUAGAAAAGUUUACUAACCACCUGUAAACAAUCACUUAGAUUUAGUUUGGUAUCAUAGAAAGGCUUGGGAUGCAUGGGACCUCAAAGAUCAUCUAGUUCCAACCCUCUGCUAUGGGCAAGGUUGCCACCCACUAAAUCAGGCAGUAGGUCAGGCUGCCCAGGGCCCAUUCAACCUGGCCGUGAAUGCCUCCAGGGAUGGGGUGUCCACCAGUUCUCUGGGCAGCCUGUGCCAGCACCUCAUCACCUUCUCAGUGAAAAAUUCCCCGCUUUGAUACUUCUGAUAUCAAAAACAGUGCAAUAAAACACUUCAUGGAAACUGUUAGGUGCUUUAUAAUUGGCAGAUGUGCUUAAUUUGCCAGCACACCAGCCAAGCCCUGAGGAUUUACAGGGAACAAAAAAAUGUUGGGGUUUCAGUAGCUUUAGUAAUCAUUACUUAAUGGCUGAGAAUUGAUAAAGCCUUGCUUAAUUUAGUUUUCUGUUCCUUCUGUGAAUAGAGAUGGUCAAUCAUUUUUAAACUCUUCACUGUCCUCUGUUAAAGCUGUAGUAUUCUGUGUAAAUAAAUAUAUGUUAGGCUUUGGAGGGAGAGACUGAAUGGAGCAGAAGAAGAACUGAAGUUGUAGGUUUAUCAUGUGCUUUGUGAAUGCCUUGCACUUGAGCUGAAUACUCAAAACACUAAACUGAAAACUCAGAACCCUAUUUGGAAUACUCAAAAAUGAAUAAGAAAAAGGUGUGCUCCAAACCUCAGGGAACAGAAUUUUUUAUGCUACACGCUGUGGUAGCAACAAAAAUGGGAGAGAAAGAAUAAUAGCACCAGGAAAAGGAAGGCAAUGUUAAUUUUAGUGUGAGACAAAACAAAAAUGCACUAUCAGCGAGGAAAAGAUAGCAGAGGAAUUUUAUACAGCUUUAUUGAAGAAAGAGAUUUUUUUUCUUUCUGUUUCACACACUGCAGUCCCUUGUGCCUCCCUCCUCCCUUUCUUGUUAUAUGUUUAUUUCCUCUUGCAUUUUUAUCACUAUACUGCAACUAGAGAAGUAUCUUUCUAUACUAUUUCACUAAAGUUUUGCAACUUUAGCACAAGAAAUACUCUGGCAUUUCCCCCUGGUUAACUUGGUGAGCCCAUUAGUACUUGUUCAGUUGUUCUGAACUCCAUGCUUAUCAGUUGGUGGUUGCAUGCUUUCAGAUCCCAACAUCUGACAGGAAGCAAGGACAGGAACUGAAACAACUUUACUUUUGAUUUACCUGUCAUUUGUGGAUUCAACUCUUAGCAUUUAUGUUCCCCUAAUAUUGUGGUUUCUGAAUUGAAUGAAUAUGAAAUCUAAUUUGUGCUCUCCAGAGGAAAUAGCUGUAACACUUGAACAUGUUACUGUCAGAAGGAUUUGGGUCAAAUAUUGAUUUUUUCUAGUAUGCCAGUAUCAAUCAGUGUGUUUUAAUUUAAUUCAAAAUACCAGGAGCUGAGAGUUCAUAGGAGCUAGAGUUAUACUGAGAUCGACUUCAUUUUCUCAGGUCUACUAUCUCUCAGUCUGCUGACACAGUGAGCAGAAGAGAUAAUUCAGUAUUUUAAGAAACAGCUGGGCUGCUGGAUUGAGAUAGUCUGUAUAUACCCAUUCUGUUAAAAAGAAGAAGCAAUCUCUAAACUGAAGAUGUUCCAGAGGUGCCUGAGAAAGGCAGCCUUCACUGAGUAGUGUUGCGACCAGAGCAACUGGAUUGGAGUGGUAGAACUGAUGGAGGGGAACUUGUUCAGAAGCUUAUUAUUAUGGUGCACAGUAAAACAAAUGCAAACAUCUGAGAUGCCUCAUCUAGAAUAAUUCUAGCAGUGAAAAUUAGAAAAUAGACUGGCUGUGGUAAACUGUAGUUGUAAGUGGAGAGUAAAUGCCAUACCCAGACUUUUCAUACUCAUGUGAAACUGCUGAGUUCACAGAAGUGUUAGAAUGCUCAGAGCACUGAGCUGAAUUCCAGAUGAUUUCUGUAUAUCUACCUGGGAAAAUGCUAGAGAGAUAUGAGAAUGGAUAUAUUUGAUUACUUUACUGGGGUAAAUUAGGAAAUAUGCCCCAAAACUGUAGAUACCCAAGUCUGGAAGUUUUGAGCCAUUAUCUAGGCUAUUAUGGUUUAGUGUGAAAGAGGUGAAAAAACCCUACCUCCAUGUUGGUUCACAACUCCUGUGAACCUGUAUACUUGUUUUUUUCUGAAGCAGAUUUUCUAGGGUACAGUGUUAUGCUGUACCCUCAGCGUGGGGAUUUUAAUAAUUCUGGCAGCAGAUCGAUUUUCUGUAAGAAGAGUUCAGAUGAUGAAAUCUGUUCUCUCUCUAAUGAACACCUAUUCUUACAGACAGGUUCAUUGAGACUAGAGGAAUGAUUUGAGAGAGUGCUAACUAAUUUCAGAGAGACCUCCACAGCCUUGGUCCACUUUGGGAAGUUGGAUUUAAUAGUAUGUGAAAAUGACUGAAACCAAAACCAAGUACAGAGGCGAGAAUUCUCAGUGGUUCCUGUGGAUAUACCUUCAUAGUAGGUGAAAUCCACGUUCUUAUCUGAGGUUUACCUCAAAUCUCCCCCAACUAUUCUUAUCCUCUUAAAUCCAUGCCUGCCUUCCUGCCCACUGAAUAUUGACAUAUUUGCUCAGAUGGAGCUACAGGAGCUAUAGUCUUUGUUCAAGCUUAUCUACUUUGCACUGAGCAUGUAAGUGAAAUUCACUUUGUUUCCCCAAUUCUACUCUUUACCCAAUUCUACUGUUACCCAAUUUACCCAGUUCUACUGUUUACCCAAUUCUACUCUGUAUCUGAAAAUUUCAGACUUUUUUUCUUUCCUCAUGUACCAGAAACUACAUGUGUAUGUGUCUACGUAUGCUUGCCAUUUAAAUCCUCAUUUCAGAUGCUCUACCUCAUAUCUCUUCUGCUUUAUUCAGCUCAGAAACGACAAAAAAAAAUAAUCUGUUUGAUGUUGGUGCUUACUGACCAGGCUGUUAAGUCAUGGUGAUACUCCUAAGCAGAGCAUGUGAAUGAGUACUAAACUCUGCUCACCUCUGAAGGAAAGACAAAGAUUGAUCAUUACAAUAGGCACCCAAAAGUAUUCCAUAAAGAAGUAUUCUGAUUUGCUCUCUGGAGUCUUCACUGACUCCUGUAGAGGAGACCAAAAUUCCUAAUUUGGGGAUACUGGGACUUGGGCAGAAUUUGCUGGUGUAUAUUCCUUGAGGCACCUCCAAAGAGGCCAGCACAUAUUCUAGUAGCAACUUCUCAUCUGUUGAGUCCUGACUUUCUCAUGCCUCUUGCAGCACAAAUUCAUCUGGCACUCCAACAAGAAGACAAACAGCUUUCAGUCUCCAGGCUGGAAGAAGAGCUGUGUAAUGCACAUUUCUUUCCUCCCUGCUGACUUCCUGGUGGUCACUGUUGCUCAUAGUCUGCUGUCUUCCAAUGACAGACACCAGAGCAGAAUGUCCUUUCAGUGCAUGCUCUGGAGUUAUUGCCUGAUUCACUGCAGCUGCUUGUACAACUGUCUUGACCCUGACUUUUUUGUUUUAUCUCUUUGUUCUUUUGAUGUAAAGCCUAGCGUUAAUGAACUACUUAGAGCACACAGGUAUAUGUGGUUGCUAAAUGGGUUUCAGUAUAUUUCAGGACAAAAGAAAUUUGGCUGACAUUAAAGUCUGAGAAACAUAGCAAUUGGCAAAUCUAGCAAACGACUAUCCACAAAGAGAUUGUGGAAUCUGUCCUUACUGUUACAUGUACCCUCAUCCACAGUAUUUGGGGCUGCUUGCUCCUUCAGAUGAAGAUCUAGUGCCCACAGCAGGAAGAGAAAGGAAGAAGGAUCAGACAUGACAUGACUUGAUAAGGUGGAAGCUAUGGUAGGCCAGAUACUAAGGACAUGCUGGAGAUGAAUAUGUGGGGAAAGGAAGAAGCAGAGUCAAUCAUAGACCAGUAAUCACCUGCCAAUAUCUUUCUGCCUGUUACUGAACAGAUAACAUUAAGAAUGGGAGCUCUUCACAGGUGGUAGUCAAUGUAAUAAGUGCUAGAAGAACUACUGUACUGUAAUGUUUUGGCUUACUUUAGAUGGAGCUCAAGGAAGAUGCUGGGGACCUUUCGUUUGACUCAUGUUCAUCCUCUGCGCUGUAUGAUGCCAGGUAGAUCUACACAUGUGACAAAUCUGUGUGGAAGUAACAUUUUACUUCAGCUAAUUAUGAAAUGCAUGUGAAGCUUAUGAUCUAUUUCCCUUGCAUUUUAUUGUUCUUAGCCCUAUUAUUUAGUCAGACUUUUAUGCUUUUAUGCUGAUGUUACUAUUACAACGCUGUCUAAGACAAUGCCAAAAUCCUACAUACUGUACUAUUAUCUGGCUGAGAAGGAGGAAAUUUAUUCUGUUGCUUACAAUUUGUCUUCCUUAAUUCAGUACCCUAUUAAUCUGCAUGCACAUUUUCUCCUUUUUUUUUUUCUUUUUAAUUUGUCUAUUGAUGCUUGAUACUAUGUUAUUUGAGUUUAUUUAGAAGGAACUGAAAACAAACAAGGUUCUUGGCUGAAAGAAGUUUCCAGCUAUGACUCUAGACUCAGUCUUGCUCAUUUGGUGGCAAGCUGCCAAACCAGCAAGUCAUGAAAUCUCUUUUUUUUUCUCAUGUAGAUAACUAGUUUUCUAAUGGGUGUUUGUAAAAAUCACUCUUGCUUCAGGCUUUACCUGAUUCUCUACUGUGUCAUCUUAUUGCCCUUCUAUUUCAGUUCACCCCCAGUGUUUUCUUCCUUGGAGUUUUAUUGCAUUGGCUUUGUGAGGUACAGUCUAGUCUCAGAAUCUUUCAGUGUACCUCUUCUAUCUGUCACAUUGCCUUUUGUCAGUUUUAACUGGCUGGUCCUUAUUUUUGGAGUAUUUAAGGUCAAAACAUGCAGCAACAGUGCUGGAACCUUAUCAGAUAUUAUGUAAGAAUUGCCUUAACUGUUUAGUCAUAUCCACAGUUCAAGUAUAAGUGAAUUACCUUUAUAUUUCUGGUCAUUUCACCUUUUGGUUUAGAUUUUGGUAUAGAUACCAUGCAGUUUAUUCCACGAAUUAGGAAUCUAAGAUCCUAAAGAAUCAUCAGAGCCCCCAGAACAACCAUUUGAAGAAUGGGAGAGUGAGGAAGGAAGACUAGUUGCCACAUACUCCCAAACAGUGCUCAGCAUGAAAGAGCCUGAAUCGCCCUCUGAAUACUUGAUUGACAAUUCAGUGAAAGGAAGCUUCCAAAUCAGCACUUAGCCUAGGUGCAGAGGGUUGGUGGGAAUGUCCGCUCACUUCCCCUCUGCCCCUCAUGCUCCUUUAAUAAGGAGAAAAUUGAUUCCCAGUUUCAGACCUUUGUUCAGUAGCUAAGAGAGAGUGUGGUCUCCCUGGCUGAGUAACAGCUGGGGAAAAAUGAAUAGACCAUAUGCCAGAGAGCAGCCGCCAGAACACUGGGACAAAGCUGUGGAGUACUGCCAAGCCUCACAGUGAAAGGCAUGGCAGUCAGGGUGAGGGGUGGAGGGAAGCUGCUCAAAGCACACUGUCAGGGACCCUGCACUGCUGUACUUUUUAGGGACUGCACUAUGUAAGUCCUGAACAAUGAAAGGAAAAAUGACUUGCUUUCAGAACGUUGGAAAAGAAAGUCACUUAGCCAGGUGGCUCUGACCAUCCUUGUUUAAACUUGCCCAUUUCCCUUUCUUCACCUUUGAGAUCUUUCUCAGGAAAUGCUAGAAAGUUGCAGUUGCUUUUCCUCUUUUGGUGUUUUUUUUUCCAAAAUCUGGUUCAUUUCUGUUUUUUUCUGUGACCUGAUCUCAAUGGCAGAAUGGGAUAUUCUUAGGUGGACAUCAUUAACAGCUGUAGCAAUUCUGCCACAGCUAAAAGAGGAGCUUGGUUUGCGAAGAUUUUUAUGCAAGAGGAAUUGGUCUGCAAUAGAUUCAGUCAAACUUUUUCUUUUUUACCUCCUACCUAUAGACUGACUACAUAUGCCAGUCUGUUCCAGGCCUGUGGAGGAUGUCUUCAGUGCUGAACAGGUGGAACUGAGAGCUGUAGCUAAUGAACUCAGUGAGCUCUAGGAGAGGGAUUAUAGGAAGUAGCCCUCAGGCAAGAAAAAAAAAGAGAUGAAACCCUGGACCAACAUUGUAACCCCACAAGCUGUGGGAAGCAACUACUCUUUUUCACUUGAAAUAUCCCUGUGAGCUGAUGUGGUCCAUUCUACACUUUGUGGUAAGCCUACAUUGACUGGCACAGACUCACUCUGUGGACGUGCAAGUCAAAUAGUAACAUGGUAAGUGAGGAAACAAACUAGAAUUUUGGUGAAGUUUUGAUUUAAAAAAAAAUCAAAGUUUUAAAGUAAGGUAAUUCUUUAUAUGAAGAAGAUAUGGAUGUUAUUAAAAGAUACACUUCAAAUUUCUAGUGGCAGUUACGUUCACAAUAGUUCCAAUUGCAUUUCUUUAAUCAGACAGGUCUCUUCUGAAACUUCCUACUUUUAAACAGAAUAUCUGCUUAGAAAUACCUAAGGAAAAAUAGUGAAAUGAUUCAUGUUAAUCGAUUAUGACUGAUUUAAGUUAAACUUAGUUGCCUACAUUGCUGUUACUUAUUUGUCUAAAAAAACAACUGAAAGCAACUGGUGGGAAAAAAAGGUCUUUUUCAGCAUUUUACACCUUGUUGGUUAUUUCUCUGUAAUGAGUCAUUUCAGAUUCUAGAUAUCCAGUCCACUGUAACUUGUUAUAUAUUGGCUUAUAAUGGUUAAAGGGAAAAAAUAAAUGAGAAUAUACUUCUGGAGUGGCAGUGAUAUCUACCAAAUUUCCUUUUAAAUAUGCACAACAAAAUGAAUUGUUAAAAAUAAUCCCUUGAGGAUGGUGCCUCUUUUGUCAGUUUUCUACCAGAGUGCACUCUGCACUUUGACAGAAAAUUGCUCAUUAAUCUCAAGGGAAUGACCAGUUUUUCAAAAUACUCAACUAUGCUGCCAGUGUUAAUUUUUUAAGCAUUGUGGGUGCCAUUAAUAGCUUGCUGUGGUUUGGAAACAACAGUAAUCCUUUUUGAAUGGGACAUUAACUCCAAAACAAAUCAUUUGCUGUUGUCCAUAUACUGUAAUUAACAGUUACCUUCCAGAAGGUAAGCAUCAUGCCUUUAUAGAAAUCGCCUAGGCUACCAUGUCACUGAAGUUUUGGGUUCUUUCUAGUAUUUCUGUCUCAAGGCACAAAGGUGGGAUACUUUUCUGACAGAGUUGCAUUUGGAGGGGCAGACAUAGCAAAGGUAAGGGGAUCUGAUCUUCUCUUUCAGCCUUCAGCAUUUUUGCUUUCUGAGAUGAAGGAAAAGGUACGGAUGUCUUAAUUUGCUUCUUCUCAGAUGUGUGAGAUAUCACUAUGUUCAGUUAAAAGGGAGUUUGAUAAUUGUUUGGGAUGGAAAAGGCAAGAAAUAAUGUUAUUCUAUCUCAUCCACCUUAAAUUUUGCCUUUGCUACCUCUGCUAAUGUCUACUACAUCUCAUUCCCAGUGGGUGUGGGAGUGGGAGGUGAAGAAAGAGAGAAGAGCUGAGCUUCAUAGAGUAGAAGAACCUGCCAGAACUGAGCUCCUUAAAUGGGAGUUUUGUUAAGAAAUGUCAUGACCUUGUUUUAAGGGUGAGGUGAAAGGAUUGGUUUUCAUUGUCUGUUCCUCAUUUUGAUACUAUUCUUGAUAAAAUAGUAUGGAAUUAAGGGGUGGCAAUGCAUGUAUACAAUAUGGAGCUUGAAAUUUUAGCAGUAGUGUCAGUUUUCAGGCUAGUUUUAUAUGACUAUAAUGUCAGUAAUCUUCUAACUCUUAUUGGUCAUUGGACUCAAUCUGAUUUUCUCUGGGAACAAGCCUGUUGUAUUGAAGUAUGCAUACAUGGGUAAAAAGAUGGGAGAACGUGAAAUAUACUUGCUUUUAUAUUUAAAAGAAUGCUUUUUUCUUUGGUCUGUGCUUAAAAAAGCCAGAUCUAACCUAAAGAAUAAGCCUCUAGUAAGUAAAUUUAGUUGAGAUUUUUAAAAGCACUUCAUGAUUUAAGGUACAUGGCCCCCUGAAAGCCUAAGAAGUUUGUGCUUCUGGGCUGCUAAAGCAUAUUUGAUACGCCUGUUUAUAUUGGAUUCUUUAUAUUGGAUUCACUGGUAGCAUAGCCUGAGUUGAAGCAAAGCUUUGGUGUAUCAUUCCUCCAGGACUGAAAUGUCAGCUCCCGACAUAGUCUCGAAUAUUUUCUUUCUGGAAUGUACUUUUUCAGAAUAUUGCUCAGUGGUAGCAAAGGGCACUUCCCAGUGGCAGCUUCUGCUGGUUGAGAAAUUCGUAACCUGGAAAUGCUCGUAAGUCUUGCCCGCUUUGCUCGAAGAUAGUAAACAUUCAAGCAAAAUUACACACAAGUAAUAUUCCCUGCAGACACUCCAAGGAAGGCACUGGAAUUUCCUAGCCCUGCAGCAAAUAGCUUACUUCAACACGUUUGUCUUAUCUAACUAUUCUUUAUCUAGUUGUUCUCACAGUCUGGCCAUCAGGCCUUACCUCCCCAGUUUGUAUAUGUGCAUCAUGAAGUCUGUAGAAAGGGCUGAUAUUAAGCUACAGUUCAGGUGCUAAGAUCAUAUGCACAGGAUUCUUUGAGUGAUGCUGUUAUCAAGCAGCACUUGAUCUUCUCUGUAUACUUGGAAAUAUUACAGAACUUCCAAUCCUCCCUUCUAAUACAUUUUACCUGUUCCAGGUUUUGGGAAUCUUGAAUUAAUUUGACCCUUUGUGUUCUAAUCUCUUUUUCAGCUGGAGCUCCAUUCUUAUUCUUUCUACGCUUUAGUUUAAUUUAUUUUAUGUUGGGUGUGUUGGUUUUUUUAGAACUAUACAUUGAAUUAUAGGAAUGCCAAAGGUAAAGGAAGUUAACACUUGAGAUAAUAUAGCUGCAUAAAAUUAUAAAGAGAAAUUGUUUUCCACUUAAAUCAGAGGGAUUUUAUACUUCAGGCUUCAUUUAUCUGAUUUUUUUUUUAAAGAUGUCAAUUGUUGAUAUCUUUUUCUCUAAUAGCCAUUCAGAUGUAGACAUAUGUACAAUGAAGUAUAAAUGAUAGUGGAGAAGAUUUAAAACAUAUAUAUUCAGUGAUAUAGUCAAACAUAAUAGGGGCUGUUAAGAGCUUAUAUUAAGUAUUUCGCUGGCCCAGGUAGACUAUUUUCAUGUGGCGAUAGUACUGAUUAUUAUUGAAAAUUAGGACAGAGUUAAGGUUGUUGGCUAUGAAGUCAUGAUAAAGAUUAAAACUGUACAGAAGUAUUUUUGAAACUAAAAGUCAUUUGUUUGAUCAGAAUGUGUUAUUUCUUUUUUACCGAUAGGAAAACCUUCUCACUUCUGCUUGAGAGAUACAUUAGAAGAGGAACAAUCUGUUGGGGUCUGCUGAAAAGAAAAAGGAGCUGACUGUAUUGUGGGGUUCAAAUAGCUGUAAUCUGCAGGCAGAUUUUAUUGAUUGUUUCCCUCCCUUUCUUCCCUAGAAGCUCAGCUUUUCUAGAAGAGAGUAAAGGAUGAGGAGUUAUGCUGACAUUUGGAAAAGGGCUAGGAGGUUGACCUGUGUUCAACAUAUCUGCCAUAAAUGAAUGCUCACCAUGAAGUAGUGCACCCACUGCAAGCAAUGCAGUGAAGUGUUCCAGGGCCAAGAGAGUUCCGUCAUGAAUUUAAGGAAAGGAAUUACUUCAUCCAAAAAGGUCUGGACACCUUGAAACAUUCUGGUAUCUCUAAGGAGGAGAUGAUGCACCUUAGGGCUGCCUUGACCUUGCCUGGGGCUUGAUGAUCCUUGAGGUCCCUUCCAACCCAAGCCAUUCUAUAAUUCUAUAAGGCACUUUCACAUUCAGCAACACCAGUAGAAUGCUUGUUCUCAGACGGAGCAAGUAACCUAUGUAUUGACUUGGAAAUUGAGGUGAGUGUUCCUCCACUUUAAGAAUAGUCAGGAUUAGCAAGUGGUGUGAAGGUAUAAAGUUGUUUGUUUGUUUAAAUGACAGCAUAAGGAAUAUCUACCUGAGCCAUUGUAAUUCAGUGUUUCAUUAGCAUGAGAUGGAAGUCUAUUGAGACUUUACUAUUCCAAGUCCAUAAGAAAAUGGGACAAGGCUCCUAAUUCUUAAUGCAGCAAAACACUUAGAAUGAAGGAGAUUUGAAUCCAGGUUUAAACCUAAACUAAAUCUUGCUGCUUAAGAGGAUUGAAGUUCAGCGUUUGUUGAGUUGAAGCCCAGAAACAAUAAAGCAAUAAAGCAUCUCUUCAACUUUUUUUUUUAAAUUUAAAUUUUGUUCUUCUAAAAUUCCCUGUUCAAAUCUGUGUAACCACCAUCCACAUUCAUUAUGGGAGAAGUGAUGGUAGUUCAGUAGCCAUAGUGCAUCCUCAGCCCCCUGAAUCACACGCUGAACUGAAAUGCUGAAAUAAGCAACAGUAUGGCUUACCCUUUCCUAACCUCUGACUGUAUCGGAAGGAUGAUAAUAUUGCUUAAACCUAAUGUAUAAGAAAGAAAUGGUUUCAUUGUUAUCUGAUGGAGACCCCAUAACAAUGCCACAGUGACAGAGGCUAUAAUGAGGAACUGUAGGAUUUCAAUGGCAAAAGGGAUUCAUUGCUAGUUCAUGACCUCAUGAAGAAAUCAUUACAAUGCCAUCAGAGAUAUGAAGUCGUUAUGGGAAAACUAUUUCAAAGCAAGUCUAGAAGGACCCGUUUGAAGGUGCUGUUAAGAAGUCAUUACAGUGUAAGGUUAUGAUGGCAAAAUGGUUUCAGUGAAACUCUGUUAUAGUCUAAAAAUAAAUUAAAUGGUGUCAGUGAAAAUUAUUCCCCUUCAAAACCUACAGAAAUUAAACAGAUCUCUCUCUAAACCAAAACAAUGGUAAAUUAGAAGUUUGACUGACACUUGAUCAGAAGGAGAGUAUGAGGGCUGUUCCAAAAGUAAUGCCUCCUAUGUUACUAUGUUGGCCCACAAUUUCAGAGGCAGAUGUCAGUGAUAUGACAGUAGAAGCUGAACCUUCUGACAGUAUUCCAUUACAUUUUGUUGUUGUGUGGUAGAUGGCAGUAGAGGGGCAGACUGACAAAAUAGCAUCUGACAUGGGAGUACAUAUGAAGCAAAGGUGCGGAAUUGAAUUCCUGCCUGCAGACACAUAGCACCCAUUGACAUUCACUGACCCUGAGGAGAAGGAUUUGGGAGUGUCAGUUGAUGAAAAACUCAACAUAAGCUGGCAGUGUGCAUUUGUAGCCGAGAAGGCCAACCAUAUCCUGGGUUUCAUCAACAGAAAUGUGACCAGCAGGUUGAGUGGUUCUGCUCCUCUACUCUGAUCCUCUGUGACCCCACCUGGAGUAAUGUGUCCAGAUCUGGGGCCCCCAGCACAGGAAGGACAUGGAGUUGUUCGAGCUGGUCCACAGGAGGGCCACAAAGAUGAUCAGAGGGCUGGAACAUCUCCCCUGUGCGGACAGGCUGAGGAAGCUGGGAUUCUUCAGCCUGGACAAGAGAGGGCUCCAGGGGGGACCUUAUAGCAGCCUUCCAGUACCUGAAGGGGGCCUAUAGGGAAGCUGGGGAAGGACUUUUUAUAAGGAUAUGUAGUGACAGGACAAGGGGAAAUGGAUUUAAACUGGAAGAGGGUAGAUUUACACUAGAUAUUAGAAAAAAAUUCUUUACUGUGAGUGUGGUGAGACACUGGAACAGGUUGCCCAAUGACACUGUGGAUGCCCCCUUCCUGAAAGCACUCAAGACCGGGCUGGAUGGGGCUUUGAGCAACCUGGUCUAGAGGGAGGUGUCCCUGCAUAUAGCAGGGGGGUUGGAACCAGAUGACCAUAAAGGUCCUUUCCAGCCUGAACCAUUCUGUUAUUCUAUGACCCUUGCUGAAAAUUUAUGGAGACCAGACAGUGGAUGUGAGCACAGUGAGGUAGUGGGUGGUGAAUUUCAGCAGUGCUGACAGCAACAGUGGGUCACCUCCACUGGUGCAGAUUUUUACGACUGUAGCAUACAGACUUUUGUUCAUCACUAGCAAAAAUGCAUAGCUAAUGCUGUUGUCUAUGUUGAAAAAUAGUGUUUAGUAGCUGAGAAUUUGCUUUAUCAGAUACUGUUAUUGUGCUCUUUGGAUGUGUUAUCGUUUCCAUUGAAAUAAAUAGGAGGCAUUACUUUUGGAGUGACAUACAGAAUUAUGAAUUCUUAAAGCAAUCAAAUAAAAUUUUGGCUGGAGUUACCCAGCUGGAAAAUAAUGUCACUGAGUUUCUAGGAUCUUCUUUAAUUUUGUAAAUUAAAAUGAAAUAUCAUCCUCGCAUCAAAGUUUAUAGUAAAUAUCAUUCUUCUGUAUCUUCCUUGUUGUAUUGCAAAUUAGUCUAUGAGCACUUUUUGUUUUUCUUAUUGCAUUUCUGACUUGCAUUUGUUCUGAUAGGGCAUAGAUCUAAAAUAAAUUAAAAUUCCACUGCCACUCCUAGCCUAGAAUUUUGAGUGACAGUUGAGACUGUCUGUCAAACUAAAUAGUCUAUUUCAAAACAGUAAAAAUCUCCCCACCCAAGACUCACUUCUCAUCAGUAAUGUGGUUAGUAUUUAUCUGGUUUAAAAUCCAGCCUGAUCUGAUCAUCUACUCUAUCACUGGUGCUGGAUGGGAAUAAAAUGUACAUUUAGGAGUUGUUUUGGAUGAUUGUACCCCACUACCGAAUAAUUAGAAUAAUAUUUUCACUAAAAGGAAUGUAUUCCUGAAGUACCUCUGAGAUACCAAAAAAAAAAAUCCAAAUUUUCUUCUUGUGUUUUUUUAUUUUCAGUGAAUAGCUGCCUAUCUGCUGUCCAAAAGCUCAGCUAGAUCUGAUGCAAUACCGUAGACUUUAACUUGGGGCUGCAUGAAUAUUGUGUCAUUUGGGUGCUCACUGCAACUUGGAAGAGAAGAGGAUAUCCAGCACCAUGAGGACAGAAAGUUUCCUAAGGCCAAGAAAACCUUUUUGAAAUGAAAGAUUUCAGCAAAAUAUUCCAGAUUUGACAAGUAUGCCUUUUUUUUUUCCCUCUACAUUUUGAAAAAAAAUCUGAAAGUAUUUCCAUGAGUUGUUGUUAAUGCUUUUGUUAAAUGUCUUGGAACAUUGUUACUGAUUAUGAAACCUACAGUCUUAAAAAGGAGUUUCAAAAUCAGUCACUUAGGUUGGGGGCUCUCUUUAUCCUCCUGUUCAGUAUCUGUAAAAUUAUGUGGGAGACUCAUGGGGGUCACUGUGUCCAUAUGAAACCUUAUGAAUAGUAGUUGGCAUGCCAUUAGUAAUCUGGCAUCCAUAUAUUUGAAGACAGCUUGAAGUAUAAUCAUCAUUGCAUUUUUUCCUACAUCUUUGCCUCAACAUAGGCAUUUUUGGAGAGAAAGGCCAAAAUUCACUUUAGCUGCUGAUGAAUCUCAUUCUCUUGCAAAAUCUAGAGUAGAAAUCAAAUUCUUGAACAACAGUUUCCCUCACAAAAACCAAUCUCUUUUACACUUGUUUGAUUUGCACCUUUUGCACCUCCUUUGCAGGCUCUGUUACAUUGGUGCUCGCUUUUUUUGUGGAACACAUGCCAUUUCUGUACAAUGACAGCAACAGAAUGUUGUAUUAGCAAAUGAUUCAUGAGCUCUAAAUUUCCCAUUUCAGACAAACUAGAAAUUAUAGAUUUUUUAAAAUGAUUUUGGUAUUAAAAACUGUGGCCCAGCUAUCAGUUCAUCAGUCAAAUAAAUACCAUCUAAUAUGAUAAAGGAUGGAUUUUGUUUUCUCAUGUGUUGUGUAUGCAGAGUAAACAAGCUCUCCCACAAUUAGUAAGGAAAGUCUCUCUGCAGUAUUAUAGAAACACAUAAUAUCCCAACAUCAAGUGUCCCAAAUUCUGCCAUCCUCAUUCUUUUCAAGAUCUUAAUAAGUUCAAAACUUGUUUGUCAUCCUUGGAAGAAUACAUCAAUCUCUGUUAUCUCUGAUAAUGAGGAGUUUAUUCUGGAGAAUUGGAUAUCACAGUUAGUAUGAAACACAUUGCAGGGGGAGAUCUAGAGGUCUCUGAGUAUGCCUGCAUGCUGCCAGCUUAGCUCUGCCUUUGAUAGAAUUGAGUUGGAGGUGAUAAUUCUUCCUGUGCUCACAAUUCCUGAUGAUUACUUGGAUACCUGUAUCACAGUCCUACUGAGGUGGAUGCUGGGAGUGUGUACUGCCUGAGGCACUGUUCAACACGGAGUCUGCUUGUGUACGUGCAUGUCAUACAACAUCUGAGAUUCUGUGAGAGGUGGAGUGCAGCAAAACAUGGGAUAAACUGUCCCCACAUCUGCAGAUCAUGCUGCUAUUCACAGGUCACAGUCCUUGCAUGAGAACAGAUACCUACAAAGAUGCUUCUCAGAUGCUUCAUCUAUGAGCAGUAGGUUUAUGAUUACAAUACUUGACAGGGAAGGGAAGUUUUCAUUCUGGGUUUAAUUUGGAUGAGAGUGUUCAAAUUCCAUGUCUUUUCUGUCUCUGCAGAGUGCCAUGCAGUGCACUGCAGUACCUGCAUGGUGUGUUCACGCACUUACUCUGGCCUUCAAAAGUCAUUUUACCGCUGUUGGGAUUGUGGACUGAGAAGCGAUGUGGGUUUCAGGCCUUAGAUAUUGUCUGUCUGUAGACUGUGAAUGAAAGAGGUGCAUUGUCUGAUGGUUUUUAUUUCUGUGAUUAGCCAACAUACUGCUGUCCUUCCCUUCUUUCACCGCAUCCAGCUGAUGGGCUAAUGGCACACAUGCAUGCACACAAAAAGUUAUUAGUCUUCUAAGUUUUGUUCUGCUUUUUUUUUUAUUCCACAAUCAUCCUUCACACCUUGAACUCUUCUGUUUUGAUGGUGAUUAUUAUCUUUGUUUAAUCAGUGAAUUUAAUGACAACUCUCCUCCUUUUAUCCCCUCCAGAAGUAGCUAAUGGAGAUACUACAUAGGAUCUGUCAAAUUAGAUAAAUGUACCCAUAAUAAAAUCUGUGAGUUGUCUCUCUUUAGCUUGGUAACGUCCCUUUCAAAUGAACAUGGAAGAACAUGCAGAUGAAGUCAAAUCUCCGUUGACUGGUUUGUGACCAAUGGGACAGACUUUCCAGGAAUCCUUUCACCUGCCAGCUGCAGGAACUAUUUCCCACGUGAUACUGAAAUUCAUACAGUAAGAUGAGUGCCUGUUCUUUGCUUGAAAGUCAGAACAUUGUAAUUGUUUUGAAGAUUAAUUUGUUCCAUUCCAAUCAUCAUUACUUUCCUAUCUAUUUCUUUGUUGAUUAUUUAGUGGAAUAUUUUCUUGAUACUCAGUCUGACCACUGCAGUUUGAUUAAUGUUUUUACAAAAAGUAGGAUAAAUAUAAGUAGAGAUUUCUUUAAAAGGAAUACGGUUGAGUAGAGUGGAGAGAGAAAGAUUUUAUAUAGUGCAAGAAAUUGAUAACAAAAUUGACUACAGGAAAUACUGAUCUCUCUACGUUGUGGGUCAGUUCUUAAAACAUUUGGUGCAAUUUAUUGCAAUUUAUAGCAAUUGCUGUUCUCAUGCUAAGCAUCAUUGGCAUAGGUGAUUAUCUGAUGGAACUUCAGAGUUUCUGGAUUUCCAAAGUCUUGACUCUAGUAUUUUUUUUCUUAAUUAUUGUUUCAAAGAAACAGCUUCAAGGAGCAGGGUCUCUCUGUCUCUAUCUAAAAGAUGGCCUGGGUAUGCUUUCCUUUGUGUCCUGUAUUCCCACUAGAUUCGUUGAUCUUUCCUUGGUUGACCACAGAGAUCUUCUAGUUCCAACAUGUGAGUUUCUAUACAGACCUACAGAGGGAUGGGGAACAUCCCCACCCUAUCCUGCCAUACAUGGUCAGGAUAAAGAACUGUAUUAACAGUUAGUAGGCAUGUUGAGUUACAGCAGUUGAAGACAUACUUUAGCCAUAUAUGUAGAAAGUUUAAAGCAUCACACAUUCUCUUCUCACUAUAGCUUUGCUAUAAUGUUAACAAAUGCAUCAUUUAAUUGAUAAUAGCUGGUGUUCAAAGCUACCAUUCAGGGCUUAUCUGCACUUUAUUAUUACUGUUUUUUUCUGUUUUCACUCCUCAAGUAGCAACUGCCAGGUGGAAAUGUAAAAGUAAAUAAAAUAAUAGAUUGUACCUGCAAAUACAUGUGGAGCAUGUUUACAAAUAUGGAAAUGACUGCUGGACUGCUGGCAGUUGGUUAAUGAAAAGUCAAACUCUUUGGUAAACACAAGUAUUUACCAUUUUGAAAAAGCAUUGUAAGUUUGGAGGAAGGAGCACCUUUGUGUUAGUAUUAUCUGUAGCUUUUGGGAAGAAAAAUAAGAUACACAGUGUUGUUUACAUUUUGUUUCAGUCACACAGUGAUCAGACAUGAGUCAAACCCUUUUAAACAUAUUUUCCUGACUACAAUGUACUGUUUCAAAGGGUUGAAGAUAUUAAAUAUAUCUUAUAUAUAUAUAUAUAUAUAAUAUAUAUAUUAAAGAUAUUUCAUGAAGUUCUUAUUUCAUGGCACAGUUACAAGUAGAUAUUUCCUUCUUCAUUUUCACAAUGUCCUUCCUCUUCUCACUGAAUUAAAAUGGUGCCCUCUAGAAAAACAGGGAAGAAAAUAUCUUGCUGUAGAAAUGGGCUAUGCACAAGCACUUAGACAAAAUCUGUCACAUAGAAAAUACAGGAUCCACAGCAACAAAUCAUGUCCAGAAGAAAUUGGUAUAAAUAAAAUAGAUAAAUUUAUUUAUAAAAUUAGGGAAUAGGGAAGAUAAAAUUAGGGAAACAUUUGCAAGGGUGGCCUACCAGAGACAAGGAGGUGUAAAUGAAUAGAGUUCUUUUAAACUUUUCCCUAGUAGUGCUAUUAUUGUUAUUACUAUUACUAUGACUACUAGUACUAAUACUACUAUUACUACUACUACUACUAAGUUCUAUCCUGGAGUGCUUAUGCCUUGAAGUAUAACAGUUCUAUCCUGGAGUGCUUAUGCCUUGAAGUAUAACAACUCUUCAGAAAAAGAUAGAGAACAAUCUAGAUUUUAGCAAUACUUUCAUGUAGUUUUAAAGUUGUUGCUUAUGUUCGUAGUGGCAGAAAUCUGCAGACUCUGAGGGAAAGUGUCAGCAAGAGUUUGCGAGAACAUAGGUAUAUGUCUGGGUAGUAUGGAAUGUGAAGUCAUGCAAUAGGUUUUCAGAACUGUCACUGCCCAGAAGAUCCACAUGCAUGUGUACUAGGGGCUGAAAUCUAUUGCAUCAACAAGGGCAAAAUUACAAAGAACCAUAACAAAAAGUUUUAGAUAGUAGUUUUUUUAAUAGAAAGAAAUUAUGUAGGUAUUUAUAUGAGGAAAAGCUGCUAAUGUUCUGCUUGGGCUGACAGGGAUAAUAAGGGUGGUAACAGUUCUAAGCACCAUUCAUAGAUUGGGGUUGAGUCUCGCUAGGAAGUGAAGGAGUAAUGUAACUUGGGCAGACCCAUAGGAAAGAAGAACAAAAAUCUUAACAGAGACAGGGAACCAGAGAGAAGGGAAUGUACACGAACAAAGCAAAAACUCCAGGUUAAAACAGCUAGGUGUCAGAAUUAGCAGUAUCCAUGAGAGUGAGAAGUAUCUAUGGGAAAAUGUGAAAGAAGAUGAAGGGCAAAAGAGGGAACAGAAUGCAGAAGUGGGCUGUGAAUCAGCAGCACAGAAUGACCAGAGCAAUAUGUGAGAAGGGAUAAAAUAGUAGAAAUUAGUGGUUUGAUGUAAGGAACACUUUCAGCAGAAUGGGGCCAAUGGACUAGAAGAUGCUUAUAAUGGCUAAAUCAUAGGUUUUGCAGAGUACUAUUACAGCAUUUUGACAGUGCUCAAUACAGACAAAACUGAACUUUCUUUGCUUUCUAAAUUGCAGGUAAUGCCAUUAAUUAAAAGUCUUUUUUUAUAGAAAGGGGCUAAGACGCUUAUAUGUUCCUUUCAAACAACCAUCUUCUCCCAAAUCUGAAUCUCUUUCUCUGUAAUUUUAGCCUGAAAUGAUAAAGAUUUGAAUAUUUAUUUAUUUAUGAAAACAUAUCUGUGAUUUUUAUCUUGUCUGUUCACCUUGUUUUCUGUAUCUUAUUAUUUCUGUAUAACUUUUGAUGCUGUUAUUCUUCCAUCAAGUGCAAAUGCACUUCAUCCUCAGAAGAACUGUAGAUUAGACAAAUAAUUUUCUCUAUGAAAAAGCAGAAUUGAAGAUGCAAAAUUAAGUUUCGUUAAAAGUUCAUGUACAGAGUGAGUUCUUGAUUUCUAAACACUGAAAGUGGAUAUUUCAUAUGGAAUUCAGCGAAUAGUUUCUCUUCAGUUCUUUUAAGCAUAUAAUGAUUCUUGUGUUGCAUAAGUGAUGGAAUUAUUGGCUCCCCUGCCAUGCCUUAGCUGAUGUCCUGUGGUUCACCUGGCUUGAUUCAUGCUAGCAAUCUCCAAAUCCAACAACAGUGCCCAAGUUUCAAGCAAAACAGGUAAUAUUUUUUUUCUAGUUAGUGCACUUUGCUUGUCUAUUAUGGGGAAAAAAAAAACAAAAACAAACAAACAAAAAACCUAAACCAUAAUGAAAAAGAAAAACAGUUGUGUACACUGCUAGGCUAGAAAUACUAUGAGAAGCUGUUGAUGUAUGGGGCAAGAACUGUCAAAUCAGAAGGCACAUCCCCUUAGUGAGUCAUGGAGAUUUGUUGAUUAAAAAAACAUUUAAGUACAUGUUAAUGAAAUGUUUUGUUUCACUGUGAGCCUUUUAUUAUACCAAACCACUAGAAGUUUUCUGCACUUUUCUGAAGUCCUGCAGUAAAACAUGAAGUGUUGGGAGCAACUUCUUGAAGAUGCAUUCUCUACUUAACCCAGUUCUGCUUGAGAAUCUAAAAAAGAAUCUAAUCUGUAUGAAUGUUAUCUGAGAGAAGUGAAAAAAAAAACAACCACAUUCCUCUUUCAAACUGUUUUGAUGUACUUCUAUCACAUCAUUCCUUCCUCAUCUCUCUUACAAGCUGAAGUAUCUUAUUUAAAAUGUCCUCAGAUGAAGGAAUUCCUAUUGGUAAUCUUUCCAUUACCCUACACUCUUCCUUUACAGGUUCCAUCAUACCUUUUUGGCGAUGAAAAGUACUGGAUGUAGUGUUCUAAAUGUCUGCCCACCAUGCAUUUAACAUGGUAAUAUAAUGAUGUUUCCUGGUUUGUUUGCUACACCUUUUCAGUUAAUUCCCUUCCAUAAUAAUAGUUUCUUCAUCUGACAAUUGCUGGCCACUGAGCUAUCUUUUUUUUCUGAGAACUGUUCGUAUGAAGUGAUCAUAAAAUGUACAACUUCACUGAGGAGCUUUUACUGCCUUUUUUAUACUUCUCUCUAAACUUACGCUAUUGGCCUCAGUUGGGCAGAGUAUGAGGCCAGACGGGCCUUACUCAGAAAGGCCAUUCUUAUGUUAUGUUCUUGAGCAGCAGGAGUUAAUAUAUAGGCCGUCAGUAUAUUACUUUUGUUUUUCCCAUGCUUAUGGUUUUGCAUUUAUCAAUGUUGCAGUUCAGCUGACAAUCCACUUGUUAAAGACUGGAGACCUUUUGGACGUCUCUAUCAUAGCUCCCUGGGAGACUACCUUAGUAAAAUUCCUCCAGAGUGUAACUGGCCUUUUAUUCUUGGUCAUUUACUCUGUCAUUUCAAAAAUAAUUUAUUUAUGCAAGGACUUUCUCUUCUUAUGUGUAGUAGGUUUGGUUCUUUAAGAGUCUAGCAAAGGAACAUCUUCAGAUCCUUUUGUAUCAACCUUCUCCUUGAAGGUUGAUACCUUUUCUCCGCUGCAUGCUGCACCUUGAGUACUGUGUCCAGUUUUGGGCCCCUCACUGUAAGAAAGACAUCGAGGCCCCGGAGCAUGUCCAGAAGAGGGCAACAAAGCUGAUGAGGGGUCUGGAGCACAGGCCUUAUGAAGAGCAGCUGAAGUAGCUGGGAUUGUUCAGUCUAGAGAAGAGGAGGCUCAGGGGAGACCUUAUUGCUCUCUAUAAAUACCUGAAGGGAGGUUGUAGUGAGCUGGGGGUCAGCCUCUUCUCUCGGGUGACUAGUGCUAGGACUAGAGGGAAUGGCUUCAAGCUGCGCCAGGGAAGAUUCAGGCUGGACAUUAGGAAAUAUUGCUUCUCUGAAAGGGUAGUCAGGCACUGGAAUGGGCUGCCCAGAGAGGUGGUGGAGUCACCGAGCCUGGUGGUGUUCAAAGAGCGUUUGGAUGUUGUGUUGAGGGACAUGGUUUAGCGAGAACCAUUGGUGAAGGGCGAAUGGUUGGACUGGAUGAUCCUGUGGGUCUUUUCCAACCUUAGCGAUUCUAUGAUUCUCCACCUGUUUUUUUUGCUCUUUCAGAGAACUUCAAUCUGUGAGACCUGAUUCCUAGUACAAAAUUAAAUUCUACACCUACUUGUUGUUUUAGAUUUGUAUCUAAUUCCAUGCUUUCUUCUAGAUCCAACCACUUUAUCUAGCAUGAAAAUUGUCAUCUGCAGUUUCCAGUUUCUCUGAGAUCUUUCCAAAAGUUGAAACAUUUUCAGUGCCAAAGCUAAUGUAGCUAAACUACAACUUGCAGAGCAUAGAUUUUUAUGGACAUAUGGAUGAGUUCAGUCUGGGCUGGUCUGUUCAGGAACUCUGUGCUGACUCUCAGCCUUGAAGCCACUCUUAAACAGAUUCCACUCUGCAGAGAAAGACUGCAAAAUGGAAUUCUUAUGUAUAAUGGACAAUAACACACACCAAUCAUUUAACUAGUUUGUUAUUGUCUUAUCUUUUUUUAUUUUUCCUGAACAUUUUGAACAUCACUGGUGACCACUGGCUGGCCUUCUAGUUCUGUGCUGAGAAAGAGGUGUGUUGUUUGGGUUUUGGUUUUUUUUUUUUUUUUCUUUCCAUAAUUUUCAUGCUUUUAAAAGAUUACUUCCUUAAUCGUUUUGACUUUCCUUAUUGUUGUUUGAUGUUUAAAUAUUUAAUUUAUUCUCUUUCUCAUUUCUCUUAUUUGGACAAAGCUUCUAUUUUCAGUGGAACACCUCCUUUAAAACUAUUCUUUGACAUAUCCACGUGUGAGGUUGGGGUAAGAACACUUCUAAAAUCUUUUUGCUGAGUACUGUGCUUUCGCUGUGAUGUCUUUUAAGUUUCCGUUCUGUUUACAAGCACCUUAUUCUUCCACUGCCACUUUUAUUUUGGCUUUAAUGGGCUUAUUUAUUUCUAUGCAGUUCCCUAUUUCCAGACUCAGUGCUGCAGUUUCUUUUUUGCUCUUACUGGGAGGUUGAAGAUUACCUUGUUACUAUAGGAUGCUUCUUUGACAAAGACUUCAUGAGCAGAGUUCGUGCUCAUCCAAGACUACACCGAGGUUACUGUCUUUUUCUGUGGGGAGUCUUGACCAGAAUUUUCAUCAGUGUCAGUGUUUGAUCUUUUUGCUGAUGCCAACAUUCUGCUUCAGGUAGUGAGAAAAGCCAAAGGCCUCUGGACUGGUUUCUUGUCUAAACAGAGGUUGCACGUGAAACAGCUCUGUUGUAGUGUGCAGUCAGUCUGGUCAUGUGAAAAUGACUUGGAAGAUGAUGGUUGUCCAAACAGCCCCAGCUGAUUUAUAUCCUCUCAUAGCUGUGAACUGAUACUCUUCAGUAGUUGCUUUGCUAGCCAUGAUUAUGAUGUAGCACAUGGGCAUGACGCAUAUGAUGAAUACUGAAGAUACAUGUACAAGCUGCAUGUAGUCCAAGAGCCAUAAACUAUUCCUCCUGACUUUAGAGGUAAGCUUUUUUGUCCUUGGGACACACUUGUGGCUGUGGCCAUCGAUGAAAUGCAUUUUUGUAUCCCUGCAGGCCAGUAGCAAUUUUUAGCCCUUUGAAAUGUGAAGGAUAUUGUGACUCCUUUACUGAUAGAUCUGUUCUUGGAUUGUCCCCUGGCUUGGAUUAUUCUGUGGUAGAUAAAAAAUAUGACUUUUUAUAGGGCUGUGAGUUCCCUAAAUCAGGAAAUAUCUUUUCUGAAUAAUUGGACAUCACUUAAUAGGCAUCACUGCAAAUGCAUUAAUAGUGUAACACCCUCUACUUCAUCCUUUUGACCUCAUCUACAUCAUGUAUAUUUAUUC
rnacentral:lncRNA from 1 species